rnacentral:rRNA from 1 species
GAUGAACGCUGGCGGCGUGCCUAAUACAUGCAAGUCGAGCGAACAGAUGAGAAGCUUGCUUCUCUGAUGUUAGCGGCGGACGGGUGAGUAACACGUGGGUAACCUACCUAUAAGACUGGGAUAACUCCGGGAAACCGGGGCUAAUACCGGAUAAUAUUUUGAACCGCAUGGUUCAAUAGUGAAAGACGGUUUCGGCUGUCACUUAUAGAUGGACACGCUCCGUAUUAGCUAGUUGGUAAGGUAACGGCUUACCAAGGCGACGAUACGUAGCCGACCUGAGAGGGUGAUCGGCCACACUGGAACUGAGACACGGUCCAGACUCCUACGGGAGGCAGCAGUAGGGAAUCUUCCGCAAUGGGCGAAAGCCUGACGGAGCAACGCCGCGUGAGUGAUGAAGGUCUUCGGAUCGUAAAACUCUGUUGUUAGGGAAGAACAAAUUUGUUAGUAACUGAACAAGUCUUGACGGUACCUAACCAGAAAGCCACGGCUAACUACGUGCCAGCCGCCGCAGUAA